rnacentral:rRNA from 1 species
CAGGCUUAACACAUGCAAGUCGAGGGGCAGCAUGGUCUUAGCUUGCUAAGACUGAUGGCGACCGGCGCACGGGUGAGUAACACGUAUCCAACCUGCCGUCUACUCUUGGACAGCCUUCUGAAAGGAAGAUUAAUACAAGAUGGCAUCAUGAGUCCGCAUGUUCACAUGAUUAAAGGUAUUCCGGUAGACGAUGGGGAUGCGUUCCAUUAGAUAGUAGGCGGGGUAACGGCCCACCUAGUCUUCGAUGGAUAGGGGUUCUGAGAGGAAGGUCCCCCACAUUGGAACUGAGACACGGUCCAAACUCCUACGGGAGGCAGCAGUGAGGAAUAUUGGUCAAUGGGCGAGAGCCUGAACCAGCCAAGUAGCGUGAAGGAUGACUGCCCUAUGGGUUGUAAACUUCUUUUAUAAAGGAAUAAAGUCGGGUAUGCAUACCCGUUUGCAUGUACUUUAUGAAUAAGGAUCGGCUAACUCCGUGCCAGCAGCCGCGGUAAUACGGAGGAUCCGAGCGUUAUCCGGAUUUAUUGGGUUUAAAGGGAGCGUAGAUGGAUGUUUAAGUCAGUUGUGAAAGUUUGCGGCUCAACCGUAAAAUUGCAGUUGAUACUGGAUAUCUUGAGUGCAGUUGAGGCAGGCGGAAUUCGUGGUGUAGCGGUGAAAUACUUAGAUAUCACGAAGAACUCCGAUUGCGAAGGCAGCCUGCUAAGCUGCAACUGACAUUGAGGCUCGAAAGUGUGGGUAUCAAACAGGAUUAGAUACCCUGGUAGUCCACACGGUAAACGAUGAAUACUCGCUGUUUGCGAUAUACGGCAAGCGGCCAAGCGAAAGCGUUAAGUAUUCCACCUGGGGAGUACGCCGGCAACGGUGAAACUCAAAGGAAUUGACGGGGGCCCGCACAAGCGGAGGAACAUGUGGUUUAAUUCGAUGAUACGCGAGGAACCUUACCCGGGCUUAAAUUGCAGAUGAAUUACGGUGAAAGCCGUAAGCCGCAAGGCAUCUGUGAAGGUGCUGCAUGGUUGUCGUCAGCUCGUGCCGUGAGGUGUCGGCUUAAGUGCCAUAACGAGCGCAACCCUUGUUGUCAGUUACUAACAGGUUCCGCUGAGGACUCUGACAAGACUGCCAUCGUAAGAUGUGAGGAAGGUGGGGAUGACGUCAAAUCAGCACGGCCCUUACGUCCGGGGCUACACACGUGUUACAAUGGGGGGUACAGAGGGCCGCUACCACGCGAGUGGAUGCCAAUCCCAAAAACCUCUCUCAGUUCGGACUGGAGUCUGCAACCCGACUCCACGAAGCUGGAUUCGCUAGUAAUCGCGCAUCAGCCACGGCGCGGUGAAUACGUUCCCGGGCCUUGUACACACCGCCCGUCAAGCCAUGGGAGCCGGGGGUACCUGAAGUGCGUAACCGCGAGGAGCGCCCUAGGGUAAAACUGGUGACUGGGGC